rnacentral:rRNA from 1 species
AACCUUUAGCAAAACCAAGUAUUAAAGGCAACGCCUGCCCGGUGAACAAUUAAACGGCCGCGGUACCCUAACCGUGCAAAGGUAGCAUAAUCAUUUGUCUAUUAAUUGUAGACCUGUAUGAAAGGCAAAAUGAGGGUCUAACUGUCUCUUAUAACUAAUCAAUUAAACUGAUCCCCCAGUACAAAAGCUGGGAUAUUACCAUAAGACCAGAAGACCCUGUGAAGCUUAAACCAAACCAUCAAACCACAUGAUGACUAAUUUCGGUUGGGGCGACCUUGGAAAAAAAAAGAACUUCCAAACAAAAGCUACAUAAUAGCACUAAAAUCAAGGCUGACAAGCCAAACAACGACCCAGCAUUGCUGAUUAAUGAAACAAGUUACUCCAGGGAUAACAGCGCUAUCUUCUUUAAGAGCCCAUAUCAAAAAGAAGGUUUACGACCUCGAUGUUGGAUCAGGACAUCCUAAUGGUGCAAAAACUAUUAAGGGUUCGUUUGUUCAACGAUUAACAGUCCU